CAGCAAACCACAAGGAUCCCAAUGGUGGACGAGCAAACAGAACGACUUCUGACAACUCAGAACAGUCCUUCAGUGACUGUACUGAAAUCUGUGGGAUUUCCAGAGAUGGAGAGAACAGCUAAUGGUGACUCUGUUGGUAAGACCUAGGAAGCGUUUGGGCAGCAGUCACAGGGCCUCUUCAUCUGAUGAACUCUUUGGCUUCAAAGCGAGCAGCUGAGGAGUUUGGUGCUGGGGCUGACGGCUAGCCCUGUGUAAACACUGAGGCCCUCCUGACAGAUGUGUGCUGAUUGCCGCCACGGCUGAAGAUGCAGCUGCGAGAAGCGGUGGCUGGAUCCCAUCACUGUGGCGUGAGAGGAUGGAGCCUCCGCCUUCAUCGGCUGGAUCUGAUUCCCGGGGUCGAGCCAUCGCGCUGGGACACUGAGUGCUCUCCUCUGUUGCUAUCUGUCCCCCCC